rnacentral:rRNA from 1 species
AUCAUUACUGAGUGGCUUGGUUUCUGUGGAGACCGGUUACCCGACCUUUUGUGUGAUUUGAGGGUCCGUUUCGGUGUUGAGCGCCGACGGGCGAAGGUAUUUCGGCGGAAGCGGUAGGCGUUUUCGAAUCUCUCCCCUCUACGUUCUUCUUCUUCUCGAGAGAGUCAGAAGGGGAAGGGGAAGAGGGCAGGAGACGACCUGCCCGCCGCCGGCGGUAUUGAACCCAACUCUAUGCGAGAAAAUGAAGUCUGAAGGCGCGGACCGUGGUGCGCGAGCGCGACGGGAAACGCGAGAGAAGCAAAAGGAAAAAGAAGCAAAACUUUCAACAACGGAUCUCUUGGCUCUGGCAACGAUGAAGAACGCAGCGAAACGCGAAAGGUAAUGCGAAUUGCAGAAUCAGUGAGUCAUCGAAUUUUUGAACGCACAUUGCGCCUCUCGGUAUUCCGGGAGGCACGCCUGUUCGAGCGCCAUUACACCCUCCAAGCUGCGGCUUGAUGUUGGGCGAGGGUCUUCCCGUUCCCGUGGGGAGGGGAGGACGCGCCUGGAACGCGUGGGCGGCGGAAGCCAGACCGCGAGCGUAGCGAGACACGAAAGAGUCAAGUCGCUCGGGACGGACCUGGUGGACGUGUGGCCGGAAAGCAAAGUCACCUUUUCGAGGAAGGGCGACGGAAGAGAAAUGGAUGGCC